AGAGUUAGCGCGGGUCAAAGAGCGCAAUCACAAGUAUCGAUAUUGAAUCAUUUAUUCAAUUCUAAAUUACAAAACGAACGUUUUGACUCGCUUUGGAGUCAUUUUCAGCAACAAAAAAUAGUACAGACAGUAAAAAUAGAAGCCGUCAUCAGUCAUCGAAAACGGGAAGCAUCCAAGCCAACGGUUUGACAAAUCCAUAGUGGCAUUUUUAAUCGUGAAGAUGUCGAAAAAUUAUUUUAGUUGCGACUGUAUGGAUCCCCAUUCAAGCUGAUGACGAUUAAUGAAGCUUGAGAUAAAUUUUGUCUGUAGAAAUUAAUUUCUCUUGACGAAGUAAGCACUCAAACGUUACUCGUUUACUCGUAAUACUUUAUUUAAAAAUCUUAACAUUCUUAAACACGUUCAAUUACUUUCUUCUUUCAAUUUUAUUUCCAUUCUAAACUCCUUUGAUCCUUCCUCCUUUCUUUCUUUUCAUAUUCUAUUCAAAAAUCUUUACCUUCUACAACACUUUGAAUUCUUUCCUCUAUUCAAUUUUAUUUCCAUUUUACACUUCUUCGAUCCUUCCUUUUUAUAUUAUUUUAUUCCUCUCCUUUUCUAUGUCUUCGUUUCGCAUUUUUAAAAAACUUUACUAAAAUACAUGAUUUUUUAUUAGGGAGAUUUUUACUUUUAUGACACAAAAUAUCAAAAUGUCAUGUAAUGUUAGCACAUUAUUAGAAAAAAACUUCAAAUUGGUGUUCAAUUGAUAUCUUGACUUAAUUAUUCUUUAUUUAAAAACCUUUACCUUC